AGAAGGCGUGGCUUGGUAAAGCGCUUUGGACAACAUGAGGUGUCGGUCAGCACUAUAAAAGUGCACUUCAUUUUAGCAUUUACUGUUCUGAUAAAAUUGGAUGUUUAAUUUUUGGGGGGCUACGGCAAAAGUACAAUUAGUAUUGAACUUGGUUUAAAGGUAAACAUUGAGCCGAUACAAGCUACAAAAGUCAAAAAUGAGUGACGGUGUAAGAUGGUAAAUUCUGUGUCAAAUUUUGAAUCAACCCUCCGUUAAAUAACUACUGAGUUUUUCAGAUGGUGAUAAUUUUAGGACUGACAUAAUUUUUACAUAAAGUCCUACUACAUACGUGCCAAUGUUCUGCCCAAUCAACGAUCCCUUCAAGGGUUGGGUUCAACCGCAGGUGACAUUUUUUUUCUUUGACCUCAUACCUAUACAUUACAAUGCAUGGAAAAAAUAUGGACAAAAAAAAAGACGCAUAGAUGAAUUAAAAAAUACAUGAAGGGACACAUAAAUGCUAUGAUUACAAUUUUCUGUUGAACAGUGGGUCUUGGAAAAAUCAGUCAGAAAUGCUCUAAAGUUGUUGUGGCAGUGUUAAAGGAAUGUAGCCCCAGUAUGGAACCGUGCAUCCAUGUUGUCGGUCUGGAGGCAGUCUUUGAAUUUAAAUUUAUUUCAAAUGAGCACAGAUGAAUCUCUACAUUCA